GGUGAGAGUCCCAUGAUUAAGGUAAAUUCUAUAUUAUUAACCCGCAAAUUUGUCAAUUCUUAGAAAUGACAUGCCUGAGUAGUGGGUAGGACUACACAGAUGAAAAAUGGAAACUUGCCUUUACUUUCAGUAAUGAUAACAUAGUACAAGAAUACCCACAAAGAAAUUCUAUUAGAAAACUUGGCAUUUUAAGUGUUCAAGAAGAUGCAGGCACUUUGGGAUGAUUUCUUUAGAAUGUGUUCAUGACAUUUCUUUGUAUCUAACAGAGUAACAUGGAAUAAGAAUUGGCUUUCCACAUUGUAUUACAGAAAUUUGUUGGAUAGGAAUUUUAUGUCAUAAAGGCCUGUAUGAAUUUAUGUGAAAUGAAAUCUUUGUAAAAAAUCUGAGUAUAUUCUUGUUGGCUUGUUGCUUGAUUUCCAGUGGCAUUUCAUUAUAAUUCUCUCUUAU
rnacentral:misc_RNA from 1 species